CCCUGCCAUUUGUACACACCGCCCGUCGCACCUACCGAUUGAAUAGCUCGGUGAAGAAUUUGGACCGCGGUCGCGCUUGCUUCAUUGCGAGCCCGAGGUUGCGGAAAUUUAUUUUGAACCUCGUUAUUUAGAGGAAGGUGAAGUCGUAAC
rnacentral:rRNA from 1 species